AGAUGGACCCGCGCCGUAUUAGCUAGUUGGUAAGGUAACGGCUUACCAAGGCGACGAUACGUAGCCGACCUGAGAGGGUGAUCGGCCACACUGGAACUGAGACACGGUCCAGACUCCUACGGGAGGCAGCAGUAGGGAAUCUUCCGCAAUGGGCGAAAGCCUGACGGAGCAACGCCGCGUGAGUGAUGAAGGGUUUCGGCUCGUAAAACUCUGUUAUUAGGGAAGAACAAAUGUGUAAGUAACUGUGCACAUCUUGACGGUACCUAAUCAGAAAGCCACGGCUAACUACGUGCCAGCAGCCGCGGUAAUACGUAGGUGGCAAGCGUUAUCCGGAAUUAUUGGGCGUAAAGCGCGCGUAGGCGGUUUCUUAAGUCUGAUGUGAAAGCCCACGGCUCAACCGUGGAGGGUCAUUGGAAACUGGGAAACUUGAGUGCAGAAGAGGAAAGUGGAAUUCCAUGUGUAGCGGUGAAAUGCGCAGAGAUAUGGAGGAACACCAGUGGCGAAGGCGACUUUCUGGUCUGUAACUGACGCUGAUGUGCGAAAGCGUGGGGAUCAAACAGGAUUAGAUACCCUGGUAGUCCACGCCGUAAACGAUGAGUGCUAAGUGUUAGGGGGUUUCCGCCCCUUAGUGCUGCAGCUAACGCA
rnacentral:rRNA from 1 species